UGAGUAACCUGCCCUGGACUUUGGGAUAACCCUCGGAAACGGGGGCUAAUACCGGAUAUGACGGCUCACCGCAUGGUGUGGUUGUGGAAAGUUUUUCGGUCUGGGAUGGGCUCGCGGCCUAUCAGCUUGUUGGUGGGGUGAUGGCCUACCAAGGCGACGACGGGUAGUCGGCCUGAGAGGGCGACCGGCCACACUGGGACUGAGAUACGGCCCAGACUCCUACGGGAGGCA
rnacentral:rRNA from 1 species